UGGCACUCCUCCACAAGUUAAUGUUUCAUUCCUUAAAAUUAUAUUAUCUCACAUGCCAAAGUAUAUCCUUUAGGAAAUAUAUCAAAGGAAUUAUUCAGGUUGUACUUGUCAACUACAUUUUAAAAUUCAUUGUGCUACAUCUAUUGGCUGGUCUUAAUUAGCAUUACAAUUGUAAAAUCUAUCAAUUAAAGCUAAAAUGUUUUAGCCAAUUGCUUGUGAACUCUGAAAAUUAGUCCUAGUAACAUCUUUAUGUCAGUCCAUUAUGACAAUUUAACUAUAAAUAUUUGGCAACUUCUUAAGGAUGGUUCCAAUUUCUCAUUUUCAUAUAGUUUCCAAUGUUUUACUCUCUGUCAUUUCCUAACCUAAAAAAGAGGGGCAAAAAAAAAAAAA
rnacentral:misc_RNA from 1 species